UGCUGUGGUUACUAUGCUGCGUUCCCUGGAGAAAUAGAUUCUAUUCCCCUGAACAAAAGCGGUCGAUUCGAAGCCUUUGGGUUUCCGGGUAUAGCUGAAUUGGAAAUCAUUGAGAAUUAGGUGUCUGACAGGUUACAAUGAAGCCUUGAAGUCGAGGAAUGGAGAAAAUGCUGGACCUAUAUAAAUGAUUUAAAACCACAACCUAUCGAAAUUCAGAACAAGUGACUCAUCCAUCAACCACUGAACUGAAGACUCAAGGAACACUGAAGAGGAGGGGGAAUAUUGCCAAGAGCCAGAUGAACAGGAAGACUGUCUCUUUGAAAUGUUUGGGAAGGCUCAGCAACAUGGCUGCCUAAACAAGUCUUCAACAAGGAUGCCAACAGAUACACAAAAUGGAAAAGUCACGACACACACACACACACACACACACACAGACGGGGAUGGACCUAGACAAUUACAGGCAACUAAGGAAUGCUGGAAACAGCAAAAAAUGUCUUUCCUAACAACUUACCUAAUUUAUCUCUAAUACUGAAGGGGUCAGUACUGAAAUUUUAUAUACCUACAAGUAACAAUACACAGACAAGAUUAUAAACAUACAUAUACCACAAUGUAGCCGGAGGCCAUGAAUUUGGGAAUGUAAGGGUAGGGUUACAUGGGAGAGGUUGAAGAAAGGCAAACUAUGUAAUUAUAUUCCAAUUUUAAGAAAGGUAGUAAAAGCCGGGAGGUGGUUGCACACGCCUUUAAUCCCACUCGGGAGGCAGAGGCAGGUGGAUCUCUAUGAGUUUGAGACCAGCCUGGUCUACCGAGCGAGUUCCAGGACAGGCUCCAAAACAAUACUGAGAAGCCCUGUCUCGAACCCCCCCCCCCAAAAAAAAGGUAGUAAAUAUCUUUUCACAAUUGAGAAAUCCAGCAAUAAGCUUAAGGGACUUCAGGAUUGUGCAGUGAAGGGUCAACAAGAAGCUUCUAAGUAGGAAGAUAAAUGGCCGUCCACUUCAAGCUAGUAUAAUAUACAGGUAAAACGUACUGGCAACCAGGCAUAAUCUCAAAGUUCAUGUGGCAAAUGUUUGAUAAUGCUAAGUACUUGAAAAUAGUCAAGCCGGGACUGGAGAGAUGACUCAGAGGUUAAGAGCAGACUGUUCUUCCAGAGGUUCCGAGUUCAAUUCCCAGCAACCACAUGGUGGCUCACAACCACCUACAAUUUAAUCUGGUGUCCUCUUCUGGCAUGUAUAUGUAAUAAAAUAAAUCUUUAAAAGUCAAGCCAUAUAUGG